GCUUACGUCCAUACCAACCUGGCUAUGCCCGAUCUCGUGUGAUCUCGGAAGCUAAGCAGGUUUGGGCCUGGUUAGUACUUGGAUGGGAGACGGCCUGGGAAUACCAGGUGCUGUAAGUU
ensembl:rRNA 5S_rRNA 5S ribosomal RNA